GAUGAAGAACGCAGCGAAAUGCGAUAAGUAGUGUGAAUUGCAGAAUUCAGCGAAUCAUCGAAUCUUUGAACGCACAUUGCGCCCGCCAGCAUUCUGGCGGGCAUGCCUGUUCGAGCGUCAUUUCAACCCUCGAGCCCCCCCGGGGGCCUCGGUGUUGGGGGACGGCACACCAGCCGCCCCCGAAAUGCAGUGGCGACCCCGCCGCAGCCUCCCCUGCGUAGUAGCACACACCUCGCACCGGAGCGCGGAGGCGGUCACGCCGUAAAACGCCCAACUUUCUUAGAGUUGACCUCGGAUCAGGUAGGAAUACCCGCUGAACUUAAGCAUAUCAAUAAGCGGAGGA
rnacentral:misc_RNA from 1 species